AGCCCCUCUUCAUAUCUGGUCCAAGGAGCAACUGCAGCAUUUGAAUUCAAAGGGUGGGGCUACACGUUCAGAUAGCCAACAUGAGAAAAUAUGAGGUUCAUAUCUGAAAAACACCAUUGAAAGACAUUCAAACAGACAGUCAGAUAAAGAGUUGAGACGUUCAGCACGUGGCCUUUUAGCCGUAUACACUGUCAAACUCGAGACAAAGUUCCAGUCAGUGGACGUCAAUUGGUAAAACAUGACGACAGGACCACUUGCUGCCUUUCGCCUGACUCCCAACCCUACACUCUUGAUAAGCCCAGCUGAUCCAGAUCUACAGACCACACCAUGGAUUGCACACAAUACCACAUAUAUGGCUCCCAGUGUCGAGUUUGCCGACGAAUCAGUGAACCUCAUUCUGAUAGGAGUCUCUGUAAUAGCAGCUGUCGUGAUGAUACUGAUAAUGAUGAUAGUGGUUCUCCGCUACAUUGCCCAUCAGAAAGGUUCAUAUUACACCCAUGAGGAGGCCUUAGUGUUUAAGAGCGACCCCGAGGUGCAGGUCCCAGAAAGUCCGGAAGAUCCAGAAGAAGAGGAGCCUUAGUAUCUUCUGGCGGAAAGCCUUUUGGGACGUUUCCUGCGUGAAAUGUAUCACUGCGAGCGACAGAAGGAUCUGUCGUGGCUCUUCUUCCUUUUCACUCCAAUCACAUAUGCCUUUUUCCAACAGAUGUCCUUUUCUGAUGGCUUUACACUCAACCAUUCCAAAACUAAAAUAGAUUUCCAUGUGCAUAAGCACUUGUGUGCUAAUUACUUUGUGUGUUGCUGAAUACUUAAAUGACAUUAAAAUGUGAUUUUUUUUUUUUUUUUUUUAUACUGUAAACUUUUAUCCUCAUGAAUGAACACAUUAAUGUCUCCAUAUAGUGAUAUUUGCAUAAUCUUUCAUAUGAACAUACUAUGAAGUUCUUUUGCUAAUAUUAAGUGUAUAUUUCAUAGAUUAUUUAACUUAUGCCAACUUUAGUGACUGGUUGGCGUGUAUCUUUUGAUAGAGACUCUCUAAGAUAGCCAGAAUCAUGCAUCAAACACCACCACGUGACUCAUUAUCCAGGAGGUUGUCAAAAGCUACUCUGAAGGUUGUCAUCUUUUAUGUCAGUUCUUUUGAAACAUCUGUAGUCACUCAAAAAAAUAUUCACAGGUGGAAAAAAAAAUUGGAAGAGCCUUUGACAGCUGUCCAUGUGCUUAGUGGAAUAUUUCACUCUAUGAAAACUAUCAUUUUUAGCACAACCUCACGUCUUUCAAAACAGUUUUAAAAAAAAUGUUCUUUUGUGUGUGCGUGGAACCCAAUAUUAGAUAUUUAACAGUGUUCACAUUGCUGUGAUCCAUAUAACAGAGUAUAUAAAUCUCCAAAAAUGACAAUAAAAACAACACGAGAGAGAGAGAGAAAGAGAAAGAGAGUAAAUUAUGACUGUAUACACCACUGUUCAAAAGUUUGAGGUCAGUAAGAUUUUUUAAAGAAAUUAAUACUUUUAUUCAGCAAGGACACAUUAUAUUGAUCAAAAGUAUCAGUGAAGACAAUUUUAGAAAAGCUACAAAAGAUUUAUAUUCCAAAUAAAUGCAUUCUUUCAAAACUUCUAUUAAUCAGAGAAUCCUGAGAAAAAAAAAAAAUGUAUCAUGGUCUUCACAAAAAAUGUUAAACUGUUUUCAACACUCACAAUAAGAAAUCUUUCUUGAGCAGCAAAUCAGCGUAUUUUAAAUUUAUUCUUUUAAAUGAAAUAUUUUGCAAUAAUACUGUUUAGCCUUGGUGAGCAUAAGAGACUUAAUUCAAAAACAUUACAAAAAUCUUACUGACCCCUAACUUUGGAACGUGUGUGUGUGUGUGUGUGUGUGUAAAUAUAAUAUAUUUUGUGUGUUAAUAUUAUAUACAAAAAUGUUAUAAUACAACAUUUUUGUAUUAUUUUUGUGGUUUGUUUGUUGCUUGUUAAUCUAUUUAAGCUUAAGAAAAAACUAAGAUAUGUUUUGCUUCAAUUAUGAAUAAAAUGAGUGAUACAGAAAAUGGUAAAAUGACUUUAAAAUAAUCCUGGUAACGCUUUAGAUUACAGCCUGGAAAGUACUGCGUAAUUACAAGGAAUUUACAGUGUAACUUUUGGUAAUUAUAGUGUACCUAUAAAGUAAGUACAUGUAAGUAUAGGGGAACAAUAUGUAAAGUUUUGGGAAUAAAGGAGUAACAACCAUGAAAAUAUCAAAUUAUGGUUAACAAAUUAUGCAUUUAAGUACUGAGUAAUAACAAUUAACUGCAUGUACUUACUAUAGGUUUAGGUUUGGGGUGAGGGUUUGGUUUAGGGUUAAUUGCAUGUAAUUAUGCAUAUUUUAUAGUUAUCACUACAGUAAUUACAUGUAACGUGUAUCAAUGACACUGUAAAAUAAAGUGUUACCCAAAUUAUUUAUACUGUAAGUAUUUUAGAACUAAGGGGUAUUUAUACAAUUAUGAUAGACAACAAUCUUACGUUUGGGAGCAAUUUAGCAAGAACAUACACUGCACACCUUUUUGUAAUAAUAGUGUACAAAUAUAUAAAGGCUUUUUUAAAAUUAGGCUACAUAUCAGUGCAUUUACACAGUAUUUUGUUUUUAUUGCAAAAGUGCACAGAUUAAGUUGUUUCAAGGCAAGUAACUUUUUUUUUAGCACAGGGGAAAUGCUCUUGUUUCAUGUAGUUACAGAGUAAGUACAAUAAAAACACACACAAUCUGAUAUCACUUGAAAACCUUUAUUUGAAAAACAACUUAUUUCAAAACAGAUUUACAACACUUCUUAUUUGUUUCUCUUGCUUGGCUUCCUCCUCCUCUUGUUCUUUCUUUCCACUGAUGAAUCUUAAGAGGGAAUCCCAUGUCUCUUGCUAUUCUGUAUGCAUUAAAAGAAAAUACAGUACACCAAGAAAUGUGCUCACCAUUUACUCAUCUUUUACCCUCAUUCCAUCCGAGAUGUAUACGACUUUCGUUCUUAAGCAAAAGCUUUUUUAGAUAAAUAAAUAAUCUCUGGAAAUGUUUUAUAAUGCAAGCUCAUAUGUUCCUAAAGGUUGAAGCAUCAAACAGCACAUACAGCAAUAACUACAGUAAUCCAUAUGACCCCAGUGGAUGAAUCAAUGUCUUCUGAAGUGAAAUGGUAAGUGUUUGUAAGAAAAAUACCAAAUAUUUUACAUUUUUAAACUGUAGACUAAUGCUUCCGACCAGCUGUCACCUGUGCAUGCAUGAGAUGGUUGAGAGUUGAAGCAUGACAUAAGCGUGCCGAGAAACUCAUUUUUUUAAUGAAUGUUCUAAACAAAAUACACAGAAUAACAGUUAAUAAUAAUGAGAAACAAACAAGACAGUUUCACAUAAGUAAACCAGCAUACAGAAUUGCAAAAGACAUGGGAUUCCUUCUUAAGGUUCAUAAGUGGAAAGAUUUAAAAAGAAGAAGAGGAACAAGAGAAGGAGAAAGCCAAGCAAGAGAAACAAACAAACAAAAAAAGGGGCAAAACGUGCUACUUUCUGUCAGGACUUCAGAAUUUAAAAUGAAAAGUUGAUUUUAAAAAAUGAAUAAAUGAAUAAGAAGUGUUGUUGACCUGUUUUGAAUUAAGUUGUUUUUCAAAUAAAGGUUUUGGAGUGAUAUCAGAUUGUGUGUGUUUUUUAUUGUACUUACCCUGUAACAUGGAACAAGAGGGUAACAAGCACCACUUUCAUUUACAGCCCACAAUGUCACACACUGUUACUACAUUGUACAAGAGUAUUUCCCCAGUAUUUAAAAACAAAAUUGCAAUAGUUUUACUUGCCUUGAAACAUGUAAGCACAAACUAAAACAGAACAAAUUACUGUAUGAAUGCACUGAUAUGUAGCCUACCCCAUAAUUAAAAAAAAAAAAAUCCUUUAUAUAUUUGUACACUAUUAUUACAAAAAGGUGUGCAGUGUAUGUUCUCGCUAAAUUGCUCCCAAACGUAAGAUCUAUCAUAAUAGUAAGUCCCCCUUAGUUCUAAAAUACUUACAGUAUAAAUAAUUUAUUAUUUUCCUGGUUGUUACACCUUUAUUCCCAAAACUUUACAUAUUGUUCCCCUAUACUUACAGUGGGUACGGAAAGUAUUCAGACCCCCUUAAAUUUUUCACUCUUUGUUAUAUUGCAGCCAUUUGCUAAAAUCAUUUAAGUUCAUUUUUUUCCUCAUUAAUGUACACACAGCACCCCAUAUUGACAGAAAAACACAGAAUUGUUGACAUUUUUGCAGAUUUAUUAAAAAAGAAAAACUGAAAUAUCACAUGGUCCUAAGUAUUCAGACCCUUUGCUGUGACACUCAUAUAUUUAACUCAGGUGCUGUCCAUUUCUUCUGAUCAUCCUUGAGAUGGUUCUACACCUUCAUUUGAGUCCAGCUGUGUUUGAUUAUACUGACUGGACUUGAUUAGGAAAGCCACACACCUGUCUAUAUAAGACCUUACAGCUCACAGUGCAUGUCAGAGCAAAUGAGAAUCAUGAGGUCAAAGGAACUGCCUGAAGAGCUCAGAGACAGAAUUGUGGCAAGGCACAGAUCUGGCCAAGGUUACAAAAAAAUUUCUGCUGCACUUAAGGUUCCUAAGAACACAGUGGCCUCCAUAAUCCUUAAAUGGAAGACGUUUGGGACGACCAGAACCCUUCCUAGAGCUGGCUGUCCCGCCAAACUGAGCUAUCGGGGGAGAAGAGCCUUGGUGAGAGAGGUAAAGAAGAACCCAAAGAUCACUGUGGCUGAGCUCCAGAGAUGCAGUCGGGAGAUGGGAGAAAGUUGUAGAAAGUCAACCAUCACUGCAGCCCUCCACCAGUCGGGGCUUUAUGGCAGAGUGGCCCGACGGAAGCCUCUCCUCAGUGCAAGACACAUGAAAGCCCGCAUGGAGGACUCCAAGAUGGUGAGAAAUAAGAUUCUCUAGUCUGAUGAGACCAAGAUAGAACUUUUUGGCCUUAAUUCUAAGCGGUAUGUGUGGAGAAAACCAGGCACUGCUCAUCACCUGUCCAAUACAGUCCCAACAGUGAAGCAUGGUGGUGGCAGCAUCAUGCUGUGGGGGUGUUUUUCAGCUGCAGGGACAGGACGACUGGUUGCAAUCGAGGGAAAGAUGAAUGCGGCCAAGUACAGGGAUAUCCUGGACGAAAACCUUCUCCAGAGUGCUCAGGACCUCAGACUGGGCUGAAGGUUUACCUUCCAACAAGACAAUGACCCUAAGCACACAGCUAAAAUAACGAAGGAGUGGCUUCACAACAACUCCGUGACUGUUCUUGAAUGGCCCAGCCAGAGCCCUGACUUAAACUCAAUUGAGCAUCUCUGGAGAGAACUAAAAAUGGCUGUCCACCAACGUUUACCAUCCAACCUGACAGAACUGGAGAGGAUCUGCAAGGAGGAAUGGCAGAGGAUCCCCAAAUCCAGGUGUGAAAAACUUGUUGCAUCUUUCCCAAAAAGACUCAUGGCUGUAUUAGAUCAAAAGGGUGCUUCUACUAAAUACUGAGCAAAGGGUCUGAAUACUUAGGACCAUGUGAUAUUUCAGUUUUUCUUUUUUAAUAAAUCUGCAAAAAUGUCAACAAUUCUGUGUUUUUCUGUCAAUAUGGGGUGCUGUGUGUACAUUAAUGAGGAAAAAAAAUGAACUUAAAUGAUUUUAGCAAACGGCUGCAAUAUAACAAAGAGUGAAAAAUUUAAGGGGGUCUGAAUACUUUCCGUACCCACUGUAUACGUACUUACUUUAUAGGUACACUAUAAUUACAGAAAGUUACGCUGUAAAUUCCUUGUAAUCACGCGAUACUUUCCAGGCUGUAAUCUAAAGCCUUACCAUAAUCCUUAAAAGUUCUGCGUGUGAACAGAUAUAUACAGACACAUAUAAACAUUCUUGUGAGCUCAAAACAAAACUAAUAAUAGGGACCAUGAUUUGUUCUUUGAUUUGUGUCAUAUAGCUGUGUGUGAUUGUACAUAGAGAACUAAUUUUAUAUAGACUCUCUUAAUGUACAGAAAUAUAGAUGUUUCAGAUAUUGCCAAGAAGAAUCCAAGUAAAUAAAACUGAGUAUUGCUUCA